UUAUAUUUCUAUAUCCCACAUUUUAUAAAUAUAUUAAUUAAAAACAAAAAUUUAAAUUCAACAUAAAAAUAAUUAAAAAUAUUACAUAUUUAAAUAAAUAUCAUACCACAUAAAAUAUAAUUUUGUUUUUGAUAAAUACAUAAAAAUAUAAAACUAAUAUCUAAUAGAAUAAGAACCAAAUUUUGUUCCACCAACAAGGCAACAAAAUAGGAACUAAAAUACCAGCAACAACAAAAAAGUAGUGCACACAACAAGCAUAUAACAAAAGCCUCAACACCAAAAAAAUAUAGCAGCAAGAACACAUCAUAUACCAGACAGAAAUAGCAACAAAAUAAAAGCAUCUAAGAAUUAGAUGUAAAUUUCAUGUUUCGUUCAAUUCAACAAUAAGGUAAGGUUCAAAGGUUAAUUACAUCAUAGCCUACUCCCUCUACCCAUCCCAUGGUAAUUAACAUCAUUCCUGUAGCAAGAACAACACAUCCUACACCAGACAGAAACAUCAACAAAAUACCUAAUUAUCAACCAAAAACCACUCGUCAGCUUCAUCGACAAAAUACCUAAUUAUAUAUCAACCAAAAACCACUCGU
rnacentral:lncRNA from 1 species